CCUACGGGAGGCAGCAGUGGGGAAUAUUGCUCAAUGGGCGAAAGCCUGACGCAGCGACGCCGCGUGAGGGAUGAAGGUCUUCGGAUCGUAAACCUCUGUCAGCAGGGAAGAACGGUCACUGUGCUAAUCAGCAGUGAAUUGACGGUACCUGCAAAGGAAGCACCGGCUAACUCCGUGCCAGCAGCCGCGGUAAUACGGAGGGUGCGAGCGUUAAUCGGAAUUACUGGGCGUAAAGCGCUCGUAGGCGGUAUGUCAAGUCAAGGGUGAAAUCCCCGCGCUCAACGUGGGAACUGCCUUUGAAACUGGCAAACUGGAGUGUGUGAGAGGAUAGUGGAAUUCCAGGUGUAGGAGUGAAAGCCGUAGAUAUCUGGAGGAACAUCAGUGGCGAAGGCGACUAUCUGGCACAUAACUGACGCUGAGGAGCGAAAGCGUGGGUAGCAAACAGGAUUAGAUACCUGGGUAGUC
rnacentral:rRNA from 1 species